GGGUGGGAGCUGGGCAGAGGCGCUCCUCACAACCCAGACAGGGUGGCCGGGCAGAGGCGCUCCUCACCUCCCAGACAAUGGGCGGCCAGGCAGAAGCACUCCUCACUUCCCAGAUGGGGCGGCUGGGCAGAGGCGCUCCUCACUUCCCAGAUGGUGUGUCAUCCAUGCAGAGGCGCUCCUCACCUCCCAGAUGAUGGGCAGCAGGAGAAAGGCUCACAGAUGGAGGAACGUACCUUGAAGUUCAGAUGAGAUUUCGGACUUUUGAGUUGAUGCUGAAACAGCUUGAGAUUUUUGGGGACUACUGAGAGAUGAUAAUUGUAUUGUGCAAUAUGAGAAGGACAUGAGAUUUGGUGGGCAUAGGUGUGAAAUGACAUUGUUUGGAUGUGUUUACCCUCCAAAUCUCUUGUUGAAUGUGAUCUUAAACGUUGGUGGUGGGCCUAGUGGAAGGUGUUGAAUCAUGGGGGUGGACUCUUCAUAAUUUGCUUAGCUCCAUCCCCUUGGUGAUGAGCAAGUCCUUGCUCUGUUGUGUCACAUGAGAGCUGGUUGUUUAAAACAG
rnacentral:lncRNA from 1 species